rnacentral:rRNA from 1 species
AGAGCGAACGCUGGCGGCAGGCCUAAUACAUGCAAGUCGAACGGACCCUUCGGGGUUAGUGGCGGACGGGUGAGUAACACGUGGGAACGUGCCCUUUGGUUCGGAACAACUCAGGGAAACUUGAGCUAAUACCGAAUGUGCCCCCAUUUUUAAACAAGAUGGGUGGGAAAGAUUUAUCGCCAUUGGAGCGGCCCGCGUCUGAUUAGCUAGUUGGUGAGGUAAAGGCUCACCAAGGCGACGAUCAGUAGCUGGUCUGAGAGGAUGAUCAGCCACACUGGGACUGAGACACGGCCCAGACUCCUACGGGAGGCAGCAGUAGGGAAUCUUGCGCAAUGGGCGAAAGCCUGACGCAGCCAUGCCGCGUGAAUGAUGAAGGUCUUAGGAUUGUAAAAUUCUUUCAGCGGGGACGAUAAUGACGGUACCCGCAGAAGAAGCCCGGCUAACUUCGUGCCAGCAGCCGC